rnacentral:rRNA from 1 species
CCUACGGGAGGCAGCAGUGAGGAAUAUUGGUCAAUGGCCGUAAGGCUGAACCAGCCAAGUAGCGUGAAGGAAGACGGCCCUAUGGGUUGUAAACCUCUUUUAUACGAGUAUAAAGUGUUCCACGUGUGGAUGUUUGCAUGUACCACAUGAAUACGGACCGGCUAAUUCCGUGCCAGCAGCCGCGGUAAUACGGAAGGUCCGGGCGUUAUCCGGAUUUAUUGGGUUUAAAGGGAUAGUAGGUGGGUCUUUAAGCGUGCCGUGAAAUUUAGCGGCGCAACCAUGAGAGUGCUGCGAGAACUGUAGACUUUGAGUGCGCGAAAGGCAGGCGGAAUUCGUGGUGGAGCGGUGAAAUGCUUAGAUAUCACGAAGAACCCCGAUUGCGAAGGCAGCUUGCAGGAGUGUAACUGACGCUGAAGCUCGAAAGUGCGGGUAUCGAACAGGAUUAGAUACCCCAGUAGUC